rnacentral:snRNA from 1 species
AUACUUACCUGGUGUCGGGGUUCCCCUGAUCAUCGAGGGGGUGGGUCCAGGGAGUACACAGGCAUUGCACUACGCCCGUGUCGGGCCCUGCCAUUAUCCCGUAGCUGGGAGGUGGUACACUCACUUUUUGGUAGCGGGAAACAGCGCCAGAGCGGAUCCCCU